rnacentral:tRNA from 1 species
GGUGGCUCAGUAGUAGAGUGCUUGCCUUGAAUGCAUGAGGGCCCAGGUUCAAUUCCUCGGUACCA